rnacentral:lncRNA from 1 species
CAACUGUUGUCGGGGAACACCCAUAUGGAGAGCAUCCGUCAAGGACAUUAUUCGUUCGAAAUAUUAACAGCAACGUAGAGGACUCAGAGUUGAAAUCUCUCUUUGAAGUAAUGCUUAACUUACCAGUCUCUUUAAAUUUGCCUCUGUUAAUUAGCGUCUCUUUGAAGUAAUGCUUAUCUUACCAGUCUCUUUAAAUUUGCCUCUGUUAAUUAGCUAACCCUUUUCCGCACUUCCUGUAUUGCAGUUGAAGUGCUUGUUUCUCAUUUUGUUUGUGCAAGCGAUACUUUCAUUCGGACGACUUCAUAUGCUUGAACAUUGUUCCCAUAUAUAAUUCUCCCUUCGUUGCAAAAAGAAUGAACCUAUUACAAAUUGGGAGUCAAACAAAGUUUUCUUUGACCACGUUUUUUUGCAAAUAGUUUUAAUAUAUUUUGAAUUAUUAGCUACUGUGACUUAUAGUAGUUUUAUGUUUCUAACUAUGUAAAUUUUAUUUAAAAAAACUUAAAAGAAUCUGUCCAAGUUCGCACUGAAAAUUAGUUAAUUUGACCUCAUACUCCGAAAAGGUUCAAACAAAUUGAAACGAAGGGAGUGUAUCAAAUUGAAGCAAAUUUGAUGUGCUACUUUAGCUUCUCUAUGACAUUCAUCCGAUGUUUCCAUUUGUAAAGCUUGUUCCCUGUGUUCUUUUUCCGUGUCCCACUGCUUAAUAUUUUGUCUUAUUUAUUUCAAAGAGGGUUUGCACUUCAUUCGUCACUAGAGUCCUUGAUCUAUAUUGAUUCUGAUAGGAG